rnacentral:snoRNA from 1 species
GACCCCUGGCUAUGGGCAAAGAGACACCUGAUUGGUGGUGGUGCUCUUAGAUCAGUCAGGGACAGAGCCAGCUUGAAGUCCUUUGUUCAUCCUAGCUUGAUGCCUGGAUUGUGGCCAGAGCUGUUUCAUGCCUAGGGCACAUUU